rnacentral:ncRNA from 1 species
UGAGAUAUUGCGGGAGAGCGUUUUGCUGUCUCACUGGACAGAAAAGCCGCCGAAGGAGCAACCGCCCCGGAAACUCUCAGGCCCCUGGACCGCGAUAAUCUC